rnacentral:rRNA from 1 species
UACGUAGGGUGCAAGCGUUAAUCGGAAUUACUGGGCGUAAAGCGUGCGCAGGCGGUUAUGUAAGACAGUUGUGAAAUCCCCGGGCUCAACCUGGGAACUGCAUCUGUGACUGCAUAGCUAGAGUACGGUAGAGGGGGAUGGAAUUCCGCAUGUAGCAGUGAAAUGCGUAGAUAUGCGGAGGAACACCGAUGGCGAAGGCAAUCCCCUGGACCUGUACUGACGCUCAUGCACGAAAGCGUGGGGAGCAAACAGG